rnacentral:rRNA from 1 species
UGGGUAACCUGCCUGUAAGACUGGGAUAACUCCGGGAAACCGGGGCUAAUACCGGAUGGUUGUCUGAACCGCAUGGUUCAGACAUAAAAGGUGGCUUCGGCUACCACUUACAGAUGGACCCGCGGCGCAUUAGCUAGUUGGUGAGGUAACGGCUCACCAAGGCGACGAUGCGUAGCCGACCUGAGAGGGUGAUCGGCCACACUGGGACUGAGACACGGCCCAGACUCCUACGGGAGGCAGCAGUAGGGAAUCUUCCGCAAUGGACGAAAGUCUGACGGAGCAACGCCGCGUGAGUGAUGAAGGUUUUCGGAUCGUAAAGCUCUGUUGUUAGGGAAGAACAAGUGCCGUUCAAAUAGGGCGGCACCUUGACGGUACCUAACCAGAAAGCCACGGCUAACUACGUGCCAGCAGCCGCGGUAAUACGUAGGUGGCAAGCGUUGUCCGGAAUUAUUGGGCGUAAAGGGCUCGCAGGCGGUUUCUUAAGUCUGAUGUGAAAGCCCCCGGCUCAACCGGGGAGGGUCAUUGGAAACUGGGGAACUUGAGUGCAGAAGAGGAGAGUGGAAUUCCACGUGUAGCGGUGAAAUGCGUAGAGAUGUGGAGGAACACCAGUGGCGAAGGCGACUCUCUGGUCUGUAACUGACGCUGAGGAGCGAAAGCGUGGGGAGCGAACAGGAUUAGAUACCCUGGUAGUCCACGCCGUAAACGAUGAGUGCUAAGUGUUAGGGGGUUUCCGCCCCUUAGUGCUGCAGCUAACGCAUUAAGCACUCCGCCUGGGGAGUACGGUCGCAAGACUGAAACUCAAAGGAAUUGACGGGGGCCCGCACAAGCGGUGGAGCAUGUGGUUUAAUUCGAAGCAACGCGAAGAACCUUACCAGGUCUUGACAUCCUCUGACAAUCCUAGAGAUAGGACGUCCCCUUCGGGGGCAGAGUGACAGGUGGUGCAUGGUUGUCGUCAGCUCGUGUCGUGAGAUGUUGGGUUAAGUCCCGCAACGAGCGCAACCCUUGAUCUUAGUUGCCAGCAUUCAGUUGGGCACUCUAAGGUGACUGCCGGUGACAAACCGGAGGAAGGUGGGGAUGACGUCAAAUCAUCAUGCCCCUUAUGACCUGGGCUACACACGUGCUACAAUGGACAGAACAAAGGGCAGCGAAACCGCGAGGUUAAGCCAAUCCCACAAAUCUGUUCUCAGUUCGGAUCGCAGUCUGCAACUCGACUGC